GGUAUUUGUGACCAAUUAGCUUGCAAUAUCUGGUUAAUAAUUCUGCUGAAAUAAAUCCUUCUUUUAAUGCUCGUGUCGUAGGUCGUUCUUCUGGCUUUAGUAGUGAUAAAAUCCAUCUUUGGACUUCAUCCAUAUCUGCUUUCCUUAGCUCCCUUGAAUUGGAAUAAAUCAUUAACUGAUCUCUUGCAUAGUAGCUCCAUAUAGCGUUUCCGUUUAAAU
rnacentral:lncRNA from 1 species